CUAUGACAUCGCAUUCCACUCCAACAAAAUCCUGUUUGGAAUCCAAUACCUUCUUGCCAUCUCUCUCACUCCGCUCUUAGGAAAUACCUCAUUCAACGUAUUUACACUGAAGUCGAAACGUUCAUUUGGAAGGGAAUGAGGAACCAUGGGUUUGGUGCUGGCUUGGUUACCAGAUUAUUCUCUGAUGCUACUAAUGGGCAGCCAAAGCUGAGAGUCACCAGAGAAAGAAAUAGAACUGACUGUUACUAUCGAGGUUGUCUGGUUAAAAUCCAGGACUCAGGCUAACCUUGUUAGAAUCUCCGUCUGCAGUGAUGUCUGUGCUGCGCAGUGUCAGCCUAGCUGUGCUCGGGUCCCUCCAGCUGCUUGUGCAGGCGUGACUGUUCCCAGAAAACAACUUUCUCAGAACUGAAACACCUGAUACAGGAACACGCACUGAACGUCACAGGGUGUCAGCCGUAAGCAGGCAGGCCUAGGAACAAGCAACUGAAACGGACCUUGGAGAACUGCACGGAGAAUGAAAGAUGGAGAGGCUGAUCCAUUGUAUCAACAGUUUAUCUACAGCUCAACCAAAGCUGUUGGGAUCUCAAUUCCUGGACCAGGGAUGUGGACUACCAGGGAAGCCCCCAAAGGUACAUUUCUGAAUAAGCUGGAUGAUUAGAAUUGAGACAGAAUUCACCAUAAGAAUGACACUUUUCCAACACGUUACCACUUUCUUAUAGCUUUGCUUCUGAUUCUAACAGUGACCGUGCCGGUUGGUCUUUUUAAAAACAUACGGAUUCCUAAGUCAU